CCUACGGGUGGCAGCAGUAGGGAAUAUUGCUCAAUGGGGGAAACCCUGAAGCAGCAACGCCGCGUGGAGGAUGAAGGUUUUCGGAUUGUAAACUCCUUUUGUUAGAGAAGAUAAUGACGGUAUCUAACGAAUAAGCACCGGCUAACUCCGUGCCAGCAGCCGCGGUAAUACGGAGGGUGCAAGCGUUACUCGGAAUCACUGGGCGUAAAGAGCGCGUAGGCGGGAUAGCAAGUCAGAUGUGAAAUCCUAUGGCUUAACCAUAGAACUGCAGUUGAAACGGUUAUUCUAGAGUAUGGGAGAGUUAGGUGGAAUUCUUGGUGUAGGGGUACAAUCCGUAGAGAUCAAGAGGAAUACUCAAUGCGAAUGCGACUGCGAGAACAUAGCUGACGCUGAUGCGCGAGAGCGUGGGGAGCAAACAGGAUUAGAUACCCUUGUAGUC
rnacentral:rRNA from 1 species